rnacentral:rRNA from 1 species
GACAGAGGAUGCAAGCGUUAUCCGGAAUGAUUGGGCGUAAAGCGUCUGUAGGUGGCUUUUUAAGUCCGCCGUCAAAUCCCAGGGCUCAACCCUGGACAGGCGGUGGAAACUACUAAGCUGGAGUACGGUAGGGGCAGAGGGAAUUUCCGGUGGAGCGGUGAAAUGCGCAGAUAUCAGGAGGAACACCGAUGGCGAAGGCAGGUCUCUGGGCCACUACUGACGCUGAGGCAGCGAAAGCGUGGGGAGCAAACAGG